rnacentral:rRNA from 1 species
AGUGAACGCUGGCGGUGGGCCUAACACAUGCAAGUCGAACGGCAGCACAGUAAGAGCUUGCUCUUACGGGUGGCGAGUGGCGGACGGGUGAGGAAUACAUCGGAAUCUACUUUUUCGUGGGGGAUAACGUAGGGAAACUUACGCUAAUACCGCAUACGACCUACGGGUGGAAGCAGGGGAUCUUCGGACCUUGCGCGAUUGAAUGAGCCGAUGUCGGAUUAGCUAGUUGGCGGGGUAAAGGCCCACCAAGGCGACGAUCCGUAGCUGGUCUGAGAGGAUGAUCAGCCACACUGGAACUGAGACACGGUCCAGACUCCUACGGGAGGCAGCAGUGGGGAAUAUUGGACAAUGGGCGCAAGCCUGAUCCAGCCAUACCGCGUGGGUGAAGAAGGCCUUCGGGUUGUAAAGCCCUUUUGUUGGGAAAGAAAAGCAGCAGGUUAAUACCCCGCUGUUCUGACGGUACCCAAAGAAUAAGCACCGGCUAACUUCGUG